UUCAGAAUUUUUUAAAUAGGUGCUAUAUAUAUUUUAUUAUAGCUUAAAAGGGAAGCUUGGUGUAAAUCCAACACGGUUCCCGCCACUGUAAUUCAGAGUAACCUGCAUGAUGCCACUGUUUUUUACCAAAGCGGGAAGGCGUAGUUUAUGAAGAAGAUAAGUCAGGAGACCUGCCUAUUUAAACAUCACUAA
rnacentral:ncRNA from 2 species